UUCUUAAUAAUACGCUUCUUGGUAACUUGUUUCUUAGGUUUGCCUUCUUCGGUGAUGACCUCAGUCACCUUAACCUCUUCAGGAAGUUCUUGAAUGAUGGCUUCCUGUGGUUGAACAGUCGAUGGCUGGAAUU
rnacentral:lncRNA from 1 species